rnacentral:rRNA from 1 species
UGGGGAAUAUUGGACAAUGGGCGCAAGCCUGAUCCAGCAAUGCCGCGUGUGUGAAGAAGGCCUUCGGGUUGUAAAGCACUUUUAUCAGGAACGAAAUACCACGGGUUAAUAACCUAGGGGGCUGACGGUACCUGAGGCAUAAGCACCGGCUAACUUCGUGCCAGCAGCCGCGGUAAUACGAAGGGUGCAAGCGUUACUCGGAAUUACUGGGCGUAAAGGGUGCGUAGGUGGUCUUUUAAGUCCGUUGUGAAAUCCCUGGGCUCAACCUGGGAAUGGCAGUGGAUACUGGAAGGCUAGAGUGCGGUAGAGGGUAGUGGAAUUCCCGGUGUAGCAGUGAAAUGCGUAGAGAUCGGGAGGAACACCAGUGGCGAAGGCGGCUACCUGGACCAGCACUGACACUGAGGCACGAAAGCGUGGGGAGCAAAC